rnacentral:misc_RNA from 1 species
GAUCUAAAUACCCAAAUUAUUUUGCAAAAUUAGAAUACCUCCAAAAUUCUCAAUGCAGUAUUCACAUUCAAGAGAAACGAAGCAAAUUAUCAUCCGUACAUAACCUUAGAUACAUCGAUACCCUUAACUCUGUAAACUAAACAUACAAACCGAGAUAAAAAUCAAGCUAAAUCAACUAAAAUCCUUCAGCAUUCUAAAAUUCAGGAGCAAAAAAUGUGAAAUUAGAGUAACAACCGCGGACAAAACCAAGCAAUUUUUUGUCAAAAGCACUAAAAACGACACAAAAGAAGAGAUUAAAGACCCAGAUAAUGCAGAUCCACAGAUCACGAGCUCCAAGGCCAUAAUUCAACUCAAUCUCAAUCUCAAGCUCAACCUCUCUCAGCUUGCAAAGGAGAAAGCAAGUGCACAAAAU